rnacentral:rRNA from 1 species
GACGAACGCUGGCGGCGUGCUUAACACAUGCAAGUCGAACGGAAAGGCCCUGCUUUUGUGGGGUGCUCGAGUGGCGAACGGGUGAGUAACACGUGAGUAACCUGCCCUUGACUUUGGGAUAACUUCAGGAAACUGGGGCUAAUACCGGAUAGGAGCUCCUGCUGCAUGGUGGGGGUUGGAAAGUUUCGGCGGGUGGGGAUGGACUCGCGGCUUAUCAGCUUGUUGGUGGGGUAGUGGCUUACCAAGGCAUUGGCGGGUAGCCGGCCUGAGAGGGUGACCGGCCACAUUGGGACUGAGAUACGGCCCAGACUGCUACGGGAGGCAGCAGUGGGGAAUAUUGCACAAUGGGCGGAAGCCUGAUGCAGCAACGCCGCGUGCGGGAUGACGGCCUUCGGGUUGUAAACCGCUUUCGCCUGUGACGAAGCGUGAGUGACGGUAAUGGGUAAAGAAGCACCGGCUAACUACGUG